UGUCUCAAAAAAAAACAAAAUGCUUCAACUAGAGUAUAUAUAUACAAUGGAAUAUUUUUCUGCCACACACACAAAAAAGGAAAUCCUGUUGUUUGUGACAACAUGGAUCAAUCUGGAGGGCAUUAUGCUGGGUGAAUAAGGAAGGCACAGUAAGACAAAUACCACAUGAUCUCACUUCUGUGUGGAAUUGAAAAAAGUUGAUCUCAUAGAACUAGACUGUAGACUAGGGGGUGGUGUAGUUGUGAGGUGGAGGUUGUUUGUCAAAGGAUACAAAAUUUCAGCUAGUAGAAUAAGCUCUAAAGAUCUAUGUAUAAUGUGAUGACUAUAAUAAUACAGUUGACCCUUUAACAACACAGGUUUUAACUGUGUGGAGACAUUCAUAUGUGAAUUUUGAAAAAUAAAUAUAUUGAAUUUUUUUGGAGAUUUGCAACACUGAAAAAAAAAAACUCACAAAUUGCAUAGCCUAUAGUGAAAAAUUAAAAGUAUGUCAUUAAUGCAUAAAAUAUAUGUAGGUACUAAUCUAUUUUAUCAUUUACUACCAUAAAAUAUAUACAAAUCUAUGAUAAAAAGUUAAAAUUUAUCAAAACAUAUACACACUCAGACUACAUGGUGCCACCAUUUGAAGUCAUGAGAAAUGUAAACAACUAUAAAGAUACAGUAUUAAAUCAUAACUGUGUAACAUUAACUAUAGCACAUAUUUACCACUGUAAUAAUUUUGUGGCCACCUCCUGUUGCUAUUCUGGUGAACUCAAGUGUUGUGAAUAUCUGGGAGGUUGAGGCGGCAGUGAGCCAUGAUCACUCCAGUGAUCACACCAUUGCACUCUAGCCUGGGUGACAGAGUGAGACCCUGUCUCAAAAAAAAAAAUCAUUAAGCAGGUAGCAGUUAUAAGACCAAAUAUUAUUUUCCUUUUUUCCCCUAUAAAAUUGCCCACUUGAACCAAAUCUAGUUGUUACUUAUUUCAGUGUCAUUAAGAAAGAUGAUGAAUACCUCACACUACUCUGAUGUUAGUAGCUGUGCAUUUAUUAAUAGUUUUAAGUAUUUUGCUUCACUCUGUCGCAGAGUAUUUUAUGCUAAAAUUAGCUGAAGCCAAAUUACUGUUUCUUAAAACACAUAUUUUUUACUUUUUUU